CCUACGGGAGGCAGCAGUGAGGAAUAUUGGUCAAUGGGCGAGAGCCUGAACCAGCCAAGUCGCGUGAGGGAAGACGGUCCUAUGGAUUGUAAACCUCUUUUGUCGGGGAGCAAAAAGGCCUCGUGAGGCAACAAGUGAGAGUACCCGAAGAAAAAGCAUCGGCUAACACCGUGCCAGCAGCCGCGGUAAUACGGGGGAUGCGAGGUUUAUCCGGAUUUAUUGGGUGUAAAGGGUGCGUAGGCGGACUGGACAGUCAGCGGUAAAAUCUCGAGGCUCAACCUUUUUCCGCCGUUGAAACUGUCGGUGUUGAGGGGGCGAGAAGUAUGCGGAAUGCGUGGUGGAGCGGUGAAAUGCAUAGAUAGCACGCAGAACUCCGAUUGCGAAGGCAGCAUACCGGCGCCCGACUGACGUUGAGGCACGAAAGCGUGGGUAUCGAACAGGAUUAGAUACCCUUGUAGUC
rnacentral:rRNA from 1 species